UGACCGGCGGCCGGGGCGAGGCGCCCCUGGAAGGGCAGCGGCCCGGGGCAAGCGGGAAGGACCGGCCCCUUUCUCCCUCCUCCAGCCCCGCAGCCCCGCAGCCCCCGCUCCGGCCUGCCACCGGCUCCCAGACGCAGCAGGCGCGGCGGAAAUGUGCUUUGCAGAGCCUCGGCUCCAGCAUCAGGGGCAGAGUAGAAAAGGGUGGUUUGGAACCGAGAGAGCGGGUAACAGGCAAAAGACUCUGUGGGCAAGGCAUCCCUUGAUAGAAAACUAAACUACCCCCUCCAGCAGUUAAGUACCGCACUGAACCAGCAAGACCCUGCAUGCCUGACCCCAAGACAAUGGCCGACCUGACCUUUACUGCCCGCCUGCACAUUCCCACCGACCUUUGCUCCACAUUUUCCUCAUAUAAACCUGGAAGUGUUUUCGGCACUUUGGAGACAGUCUUUGAGACUCUAGUCCACAGUCUUCCCGGUGCUGGCCUUGCUGAAAUAAAUUCCUUUCUUGUUUCACCACU